rnacentral:rRNA from 1 species
GUGAGGAAUUUUCCGCAAUGGGCGAAAGCCUGACGGAGCAAUGCCGCGUGAAGGAUGAAGGCCUAUGGGUUGUAAACUUCUUUUCUCAGAAAAGAAUUAUGACGGUAUCUGAGGAAUAAGCAUCGGCUAACUCUGUGCCAGCAGCCGCGGUAAGACAGAGGAUGCAAGCGUUAUCCGGAAUGAUUGGGCGUAAAGCGUCUGUAGGUUGUUUAAAAAGUAUUCUGUCAAAGAUUAGGGCUUAACCCUAGAUAGGCAGAAUAAACUUUUAAGCUAGAGUUUGGUAGAGGCAGAGGGAAUUCCCGGUGGAGCGGUGAGAUGCGUAGAUAUCGGGAGGAACACCAAAGGCGAAGGCACUCUGCUGGGCCAAUACUAACACUGAGAGACGAAAGCGAGGGGAGCAAAUGGGAUUAGAUACCCGGGUAGUCC